UACGUAGGGUGCAAGCGUUAAUCGGAAUUACUGGGCGUAAAGCGUGCGCAGGCGGUGAUGUAAGACAGGUGUGAAAUCCCCGGGCUUAACCUGGGAACUGCAUUUGUGACUGCAUCGCUGGAGUGCGGCAGAGGGGGGUGGAAUUCCGCGUGUAGCAGUGAAAUGCGUAGAGAUGCGGAGGAACACCGAUGGCGAAGGCAGCCCCCCUGGGCUGACACUGACGCUCAGGCACGAAAGCGUGGGGAGCAAACAGG
rnacentral:rRNA from 1 species